GUGAGGAAUUUUCCGCAAUGGGCGAAAGCCUGACGGAGCAAUGCCGCGUGAAGGAUGAAGGCCUAUGGGUUGUAAACUUCUUUUCUCAGAAAAGAAUUAUGACGGUAUCUGAGGAAUAAGCAUCGGCUAACUCUGUGCCAGCAGCCGCGGUAAGACAGAGGAUGCAAGCGUUAUCCGGAAUGAUUGGGCGUAAAGCGUCUGUAGGUUGUUUAAAAAGUAUUCUGUCAAAGAUUAGGGCUUAACCCUAGAUAGGCAGAAUAAACUUUUAAGCUAGAGUUUGGUAGAGGCAGAGGGAAUUCCCGGUGGAGCGGUGAAAUGCGUAGAUAUCGGGAGGAACACCAAAGGCGAAGGCACUCUGCUGGGCCAAUACUAACACUGAGAGACGAAAGCGAGGGGAGCAAGUGGGAUUAGAUACCCCAGUAGUCC
rnacentral:rRNA from 1 species